UGGGUUGUCCGGUUGCAAAAGUUGCACCACUCACUUUAAAUGUCCCAUCAGGGUUUCUUCCUUUGUAGGUGAAGGUAAGGCUCCCCCCGAAGUAAUGUGACGCAGAGGCCAGCGAG